UACGUAGGGGGCUAGCGUUGUCCGGAAUCAUUGGGCGUAAAGCGCGUGUAGGCGGUUCGGUAAGUCCGCUGUGAAAGUCGGGGGCUCAACCCUCGAAUGCCGGUGGAUACUGUCGAACUAGAGUACGGAAGAGGCGAGUGGAAUUCCUGGUGUAGCGGUGAAAUGCGCAGAUAUCAGGAGGAACACCAAUUGCGAAGGCAGCUCGCUGGGACGUUACUGACGCUGAGACGCGAAAGCGUGGGGAGCAAACAGG
rnacentral:rRNA from 1 species